rnacentral:rRNA from 1 species
UAACACGGGGGGAGCAAGCGUUGUUCGGAUUCAUUGGGCGUAAAGGGCUCGUAGGUGGCUUUGUAAGUCGGAGGUGAAAUCCCACGGCUCAACCGUGGACACGCCUUCGAAACUGUGAAGCUUGAGGCUGGGAGAGGAAAUCGGAAUUCCUGGUGUAGCGGUGAAAUGCGUAGAUAUCAGGAGGAACACCGGUGGCGAAGGCGGAUUUCUGGACCAGUUCUGACACUGAUGAGCGAAAGCCAGGGGAGCAAACAGGAUUAGAUACCCUGGUAGUCCUGGCUGUAAACGAUGGGCACUAGGUGUGGGAGGAUCGACCCCUUCCGUGCCGCAGUUAACGCAUUAAGUGCCCCGCCUGGGGAGUACGACCGCAAGGUUG